UAUACGGUUCGGAAUCCUCU
rnacentral:miRNA from 1 species